rnacentral:rRNA from 1 species
GACGAACGCUGGCGGCGCGCCUUACGCAUGCAAGUCGAACGGUCCUUCGGGACAGUGGCGGACGGCUGAGUAACGCGUAGGUAACCUGUCCAAUGGUGGGGGAUAACACUUCGAAAGAAGUGCUAAUACCGCAUGUGAUCGGUGGGUGAAAUUCCUGCCGAAGAAAGCCGCAAGGCGCCAAUGGAGGGGCCUGCGUCCUAUCACGGUAGUUGGUGGGGUAAAGGCCUACCAAGCCUGUGACGGGUAGCUGGUCUGAGAGGACGACCAGCCAGAAGGGGACUGAGACACGGCCCCUACUCCUACGGGAGGCAGCGGCGAGGAAUCUUGGGCAAUGGGCGAAAGCCUGACCCAGCGACGCCGCGUGAGGGAAGAAGGCCUUCGGGUCGUAAAGCUCUUUCAGUAGGGAAGAUAAUGACGGUACCUACAGAAGAAGCCCCGGCUAACUUCGUGCCAGCCGCCGCGGUAAAAC